GCUCCGAUGGCCUAGUGGUUAGAGCAUCCGCCUCGAAUGCGGGAGGUCGUGGGUAGGAACCCCGGCCGAUACA